rnacentral:rRNA from 1 species
AUUGAACGCUGGCGGCAUGCCUUACACAUGCAAGUCGAACGGCAGCACGGGGCAACCUGGUGGCGAGUGGCGAACGGGUGAGUAAAGUAUCGGAACGUACCAUUCAGUGGGGGAUAACGUAGCGAAAGUUGCGCUAAUACCGCAUAUUCUCUCCGGAGGAAAGCAGGGGAUCGCAAGACCUUGCGCUGAUUGAGCGGCCGAUAUCAGAUUAGCUAGUUGGUGAGGUAAAGGCUCACCAAGGCGACGAUCUGUAGCGGGUAUGAGAGGAUGAUCCGCCACACUGGAACUGAGGCACGGUCCAGACUCCUACGGGAGGCAGCAGUGGGGAAUUUUGGGCAAUGGGGGCAACCCUGAUCCAGCCAUGCCGCGUGAGUGAAGAAGGCCUUCGGGUUGUAAAGCUCUUUCGGCCGGGAAGAAAUCGCAUGGGUUAAUACCCUGUGCGGAUGACGGUACCGGAAUAAGAAGCACCGGCUAACUACGUGCCAGCCGCCGCCGUAACAC